rnacentral:lncRNA from 1 species
CAAGUUAAUUAAAUUAGGUGGUUAUAGGCUUAGUUUGGUAUUGAGGUCUAUUUAACGCUAUUAGAUAAAAUGAAGUUGAGAAAAAAGCAUAUAGAGAUAUGCUUCUGCGUUCUCCGGUGGGACCGCAGAAAAUAUAUCGUAACCGAUUCAUCGCGAUAUGCGGAACGCAAUAUUAUAUCGGAACGCAAUAUUACAUACAAAAACAAACAGGAUAUUUUUACAACGUACUUUUUCACUGCAUGUAACGCAAUAUCCUCGCAAUCCCAAACGAAGCCAUAGUAGGGUAUUUCUGA